UACAGAGGGUGCAAGCGUUGUUCGGAAUUAUUGGGCGUAAAGGGCGCGUAGGCGGUGCGGUAAGUCUGUAGUGAAAUCUCUGGGCUCAACUCAGAGUCUGCUGCAGAAACUGCCGUGCUUGAGUGUGGGAGAGGUGAGUGGAAUUCCCGGUGUAGCGGUAAAAUGCGUAGAUAUCGGGAGGAACACCUGUGGCGAAAGCGGCUCACUGGACCACAACUGACGCUGAGGCGCGAAAGCUAGGGGAGCAAACAGG
rnacentral:rRNA from 1 species